rnacentral:ncRNA from 1 species
ACUUCGGCCGAGAUUACCAGAGGGUCUUGAUGUAGGAACAACACUCCCUCCGCAUCUUCUGGCCUGAAUGAGAUUUGCUGAGCCAAGUACCAUGGAGCCCCUUCGCCCGCCGAGGCAUAAGCUUUGAAUGGAAGCCCCGGUAAAUGGCGGGAGUAACUUUAACUGUCGUAAGGUAGCGAAAUUCCUUGUCGCAUAAGUAGCGACCUGCACGAAUGGUG